AAACGACUCUUGACAACGGAUAUCUAGGCUCUUGCAUCGAUGAAGAACGUAGCGAAAUGCGAUACUUGGUGUGAAUUGCAGAAUCCCGUGAAUCAUCGAGUCUUUGAACGCAAGUUGCGCCCGAAGCCUUAUGGUCGAGGGCACGUCUGCCUGGGCGUCAUCA
rnacentral:rRNA from 1 species